UGACAGUGACAAAAAGGAAGCAGCCUUCUCUAGCCCACCCAAGUUUCCAUCAAAGGAGCAAGCCUAUGUCAGUAAGAAGAAAGCUGGCUAACCCUCCCACCCCUUGUUUAACUCCUCCAGCCCAUCCCACAUCAUUGUAGAGUGAAGAGACUGCGGUUAAUAUUCAGAAAGAGGCGCAGAGAACUGAAGGCUUUCCUGACUUGACACCGAAUAAUAACGAAGGCCUGUGUGCUUUGCAGCAGCCUCCACGUCACCCUCUUCCAGGGCUCCGUCAGAGGACUAACGAUAUGCCACAAGAUGAUUGGCAGCAAGACACACCCAGUGAUGAAGGGAUGUGCUCUCCUUAAAUCACAGCCUAUUCAUCAGGUACUCCUGAGUGCUGUGUUAAGAAAUCCUGCCUACAAAGUUCCACUGAGGCUGAUAUAAAGAUGACUGUGAGAAACUGGCUGCGGCUGUCUGAGCAGAGACAGGAAUGGGGGCGGCAAAGGCGGGACAAGCAAGCAUCUUAAGUGAAAUAAUUGAUUGGACUGAUUCUGGAGUAUGACUUAUUCUGGAGGGAAUUUCUUAUUUUUGUUGCAGUUUGCUAUGGGACGGUUUCAAGGACAGGGAUUAGACUAGUCCUGGACUAAAAUAAAUGUAAGAGCUGUCCAAACUGAAAACAACUUGCACUGACAUAUCAUAAAAUACAUCAGUGUCUUUUGUGAUGCUUCAAAAUGCACACAAGUAAUGUUUUUAUUAAGACAUGUUAUUAAAACUAGUUAUAUUUCAGAAUUAAACUAAGGCCUAGUCCCGGUUUAAGAUAAUCCCUGUCCGGGAAACCACCCCAAAGUGUAAUUUGUGGAGUGUUAAAAUAAAUGAAACAAUGAAACUGCCU